rnacentral:rRNA from 1 species
GCUUGAGGCCGGGAAAGGUGGGAGGUACUCCGGGGGUAGGGGUGAAAUCUUUUAAUCCUGGGAGGACCACCUGGGGCAAAGGCUUCCACUUGGAACGGACCUGACGGUAAGUAACAAAAGCCAGGGGCGCGAACCGGAUUAAAUACCCGGGUAGUCCUGGCCGUAAUCGAUGGGGACUUGGUGUUGGGAUGGCUCCAAGUUGCCCCA